GACGAACGCUGGCGGCGUGCCUAAUACAUGCAAGUAGAACGCACAGUUUAUACCGUAGCUUGCUACACCAUAGACUGUGAGUUGCGAACGGGUGAGUAACGCGUAGGUAACCUGCCUGGUAGCGGGGGAUAACUAUUUGAAACGAUAGCUAAUACCGCAUAAUAUUGAUUAUUGCAUGCUAAUUAAUUGAAAGGUGCAAUUGCACCACUACCAGAUGUACCUGCGUUGUAUUAGCUAGUAGGUGAGGUAACGGCUCACCUAGGCGACGAUACAUAGCCGACCUGGGAGGGUGAUCGGCCAAACUGGGACUGGGACACGGCCCAGGCUCCUACGGGGGGCAGCAGUAGGGAAUCUUCGGCAAUGGACGAAAGUCUGACCGAGCAAAGCCGCGUGGGUGAAGAAGGUUUUCGGAUCGUAAAGCUCUGUUGUAAGAGAAGAACGGGUGUGAGAGUGGAAAGUUCACACUGUGACGGUAUCUAACCAGAAAGGGACGGCUAACUACGUG
rnacentral:rRNA from 1 species